AUACGAAGGGGGCUAGCGUUGUUCGGAAUCACUGGGCGUAAAGCGCGCGUAGGUGGAUCAAUUAGUUGAGGGUGAAAUCCCGGGGCUCAACCUCGGAACUGCCUUCAAUACUGUUGAUCUUGAGACCGAGAGAGGGGAGUGGAAUUCCUAGUGUAGAGGUGAAAUUCGUAGAUAUUAGGAAGAACACCAGUGGCGAAGGCGGCUCACUGGCUCGGUACUGACGCUGAGGUGCGAAAGCGUGGGGAGCAAACAGGAUUAGAAACCCUAGUAGUCC
rnacentral:rRNA from 1 species